CAUUUGAUUAUGAUGUAUUCUGGUGUCAUUUCCUUUAUGAUUAUCCUGCUUAAGGUCUGUUGAGAGUUUCCUGGAUGGGGAAGUUUAUACUUUUCAUCAGAGUUUGAAAAUUUGGGACAUUAUUUCUUCAAAUAGUUUUCUGGUCCCCACAUUUUUUUUUUAAAUUAUAGUUGGUUUGCAGUGUUGUGUCAAUUUCUGCUGUACAGCAAAGUAACUCAAUCAUAUAUUCACAUAUAUGUACAUGUAUAUAUAUAUAUAUAUAUACACACAUAUAUAUAUAUAUAUAUACACACACACAUUCUUUUUCUCAUAUUAUCUUCCAUUAUGUUCUGUCACAAGAAAUUGGAUACAGUUCCCUGUGCUGCACAAGUAGGACUUCAUUGCUUAUCCAUUAUAAAUGUAAUAGUUUACAUCUAUUAACCUCAAACUCCCCCCAGUCCAUCCCACUCCCUCCCCUCCCCCUUGGCAACCACAAUACUAUUCUCCAUGUCUAUAAGUUUGUUUCUGUUCUGUAGAUAGGCUCAUUUGUGCCACCUUUUAGAUUCCACAUAUAAGUGAUAUCAUAUGGUAUUUGUCUCUUUCCAACUUACUUGACUUAGUAUGAGACACUCUAGUUGCAUCCAUGUUGCUGCAAAUGGCAUUAUUUUGUUCUUUUUAUGGCUAAGUAGUAUUUCAUUUUAAAUUACAUGUAAACCAAUUUGAUCCACAUGGGGCUUACAUUUAGGAAAAGUCUAAAACACCUUUUAUUCUAGAACCAGUCCCACUACAAUAGGGUGGACCCUUCUGAAGUCUUCCCUGAAUACCCCAGGUUUUCAGAGAGGUCUUUUUAUUCUGAUGAUGGGAACCCAAACGAUUUCUGAUGCUAUAUGAGCUCUGGGAAUUGUUCAACUUACAGCUCUCAAUAACUUUUUUCCCAGAAGUUCUUCUUUGCCUAAUAUCACAGCAUUUCACCAUACCCAUGUGCAGAACUCAGGGGACUCCUAAACAGUUUUCUAGAACUCUUUCUCUGUGUAACUCUUUCCUCCAUGGUAUAUUACCCUGUAAAUUCUAGCCACCAUAGCAAUC
rnacentral:lncRNA from 1 species